AUCUAGAUGAUGAAUCCCAAAUGGGACGAAACGCGCUUCCUGGAU
rnacentral:hammerhead_ribozyme from 1 species